GACGAACGCUGGCGGCGUGCUUAACACAUGCAAGUCGAACGAAGUGGCGAACGGGUGAGUAACGCGUAAUCAACCUGCCCUUCAGAGGGGGACAACAGUUGGAAACGACUGCUAAUACCGCAUACUGAAGGAGGAGAUGGCGUCUGCUUAGCUAGUUGGAGGGGUAACGGCCCACCAAGGCAAUGAACAGUAGCCGGUCUGAGGGGAUGAACGGCCAAACUGGGACUGAGACCCUGCCCCGAAUCCUCCCGGAGGCAGCAGUGGGGAAUCUUCCGCCAUGGACGAAAGUCUGAAGGAGCAACGCCGCGGGAGUGAUGACGGCCUUCGGGUUGUAAAGCUCUGUUAAUCGGGACGCGGUACCGGAAUAGAAAGCCACGGCUAACUACGUGCCAGCAGCCGCGGUAAUAC
rnacentral:rRNA from 1 species